UUAGCGCGUUCGGCUGUUAACCGAAAGGUUGGUGGUUCGAGCCCACCCAGGGACGCAGAGGGGGCUCUUUUGGAAAACAACUGCACAGAGGACAGAUGCUGCUAAUUAACGCUAAUUACUCUGAGCAGCCCCACACGGGAUCUCCCCACCCUUCUUCCAUGGUUAAAGGGAUUUAUUUAAGCCCAGCCCUGGUUAUUUGGCCACUUGACUCUGGAGGAGCAUCUAUGGAAUGUGGCUUUAUCUUGCUGGGGGUGGAUGCAAAGCCUUUCAGGAGCCACCAGCUGUUGCUGUGUCCUGAUAAAAUACCCAUAACAAGGGCCUGCAGGUCUGAUUUAGGCUGAAAAUGUGAGCCGAAAGGUUAAAUAAAGCAUCUGCUUUUGCUAAAACAAUUUUGGGGAGAAGGGAGUUAAUUUACCCUUAAAGGAUGGGAACAACGCAAGAAAAAAAAUCAGAGGUGCUGCAACAAAGCAACCAGGACCACCCCAACCAGUCCUGGCCGAUGCAGAAGACAAAGGAGAUCCUCUAGAUGGAGAUCGGGGUCCCCGUGGGAGGAUGGCAAGCGUGUUGGGGCGAGCUCUUGGAACCAUCUGCUGGAUUUUCACCUUCCACCAGCCCUUACGGUGGGGCUGGAGCUGGAGAAACUGCAAAUGUGAUGCAAGGAGGUGUCCUCCAAGAAGGUCCCUAGGGGAAGCUGAGCUUGCAGAUGGGUUUCCAUUGCUCCCUACGCACCUGGGCACAUCCCAGUCCCAUUUGCGAGGAAGAUCUCUCACUGCCAGAGCAAGUUGCACAGGAUCAUGAAAUACUUUUGCUGGAGAAAUGGAGAUUUGAGGCUGGUGCCCUCAGGAUGUGACACAAAAGGCACCCAGCAGAUGUAGGCAAACCCAGCCACCAAAGACAAAAGGCAAGCAGGAGAAAGCAGCACGACACCCCCAAAGUCCAGAGGAGAAUCACUCACCCGUCCCAGCCAUGGUUCCUGGAGGAAGGCAAGCCUUCCGCUGAGAUUAUUUUCAUUUUAUACCCCGGCUUAAAAAAAAAAAAAAAGAGGUAACACGGCGGUGGUGGCUCAAAAAAAAAAAAAAAUCAACUCUGCCAAUCAGUUCACCCCGGAAGAGGGCAAAGUGUGGUAUGUCAUAAGAAGGGGAAGAAGCAAUUGCAUGUACACUCAGUUCCCCUGUAUGUAUUUUUUUUUUUUUUUUUUUUUUUUUACUCCCGGCUGUUUGGUCAUGAGCCAUCAAUUUACGGGACAUUAUUGUGAGUUGUGAUCGUUGUGAUCAUCAGAACAGACAAAAGGUGACCGCACCCUUCUCUGUGAUGAACAGAGAGCUUCCUACUGGGAAAACAUCUGGCUUGGGUUUUCCUCCCCUACACCGCAGCCCCCUUAAACUAUACGUAGAUAUUAUCAUUCAUCUCUCGCCGCAUGGAGACCUGCAAGGUAGCAUCCAAAAUAUCCUUUCUGGUGGCAUUUCCGGGUGGUCAUUCAACAAUUCACUCUUAAUUACUGCAUAAUUUUAGUUGUGUUGAUCCUGGCCAUGUUAGCAUAGAGGGAACCAAGAGAUGCCUGAAAUGGUAAAAAAAAAUGGGUUGUAAUGGUAUUAUUUUUUUCCAUAAUCGAGAACUUUGUGUAGCUAAGAGACCAUAACCCCAUAAACCAGCCUGAAGAAAGG